GGCCCGCAGGAGACUGCUGUGUCCUCAAGGUCGGUAAUUUAAGUGUCCUCUCGGAUACAAAAGCAGCCUCUCCUAGUCAUUAGGAACCCUCUGCUUGAUAUCGACCUUGGAGAAAACGGAUCUAAAAGAAGAAUGCUUCCUUUUCUGAGUCUUAUAAGAUAUUUGUUCUAAGAACCUUCUCAGUAUUCCUUAGAACAGAGCGUGUUCCCUCUGCCAUGUGAGGCCACAGCGAGAAGGUGGCCUUCUGCAAAUCAGGGAGAAGGUCCAAGAACCCAACCAUUCUGCCAACCUGCUCUUGGACUUCCAGCAUCCUGAACUGACGUUCUAAAUCCACCCAGAGCAGCUACUAAGAGAUGAGGAAGGCGGCCGAGGUCACCACAGGCCCGCCUCAUGUUCACCGCUGUCUCAGGCGCUCAUCUCCCUCUAGCGGCCGCCAGCGACAUCACAGUCGCCGAGGAGCGUGGGCGGCCUCCUGGAGAGGACACUGGGCCUGGGAGAGGACGCAGCACCUCACACCCUCAGGGGUGUUCUCGAAACAUUGGGGAAGGAGCCUGAGUAGUUCAAAGCCGGCUAAACCUAGAUUUAUUCCACUCCCCACUCCCACCCCAGGUCUUUGCACAGGAAAGUUCACAUUAACAGAAAUGGCAUUUUUGUUUCAGUUAAAAAUCUCUAACAACCUAAGCCAGUGGUUCAUGUCUAAGCCGGGGUUGCACUCCAUCACUAAUGACUGGCUGAUAGCUGGUGUCAUUCCACGCUGGAGAGAAAUUUAAGCCCUUCUCCCCACUUGACCCCAGAUGAUCUGUCCGUAUUCAUUUAGACAGCAAGGUCUGGGAAGAGCUAAUAAGCAAGACAUUCAGCUCUCUUCUGUAUGUGCCUGGCACCCAGUAAAUAUGUUUAAACGAAGUGAUGUUGAGAUACA